rnacentral:rRNA from 1 species
UACGGAGGGGGCUGGCGUUGUUCGGAAUUACUGGGCGUAAAGCGCACGUAGGCGGCUUUGCAAGUUAGAGGUGAAAGCCCGGGGCUCAACUCCGGAAUUGCCUUUAAAACUGCAUCGCUAGAAUUGUGGAGAGGUAAGUGGAAUUCCGAGUGUAGAGGUGAAAUUCGUGAGAUAUUCGGAAGAACACCAGUGGCGAAGGCGACUUACUGGACACAUAUUGACGCUGAGGUGCGAAAGCGUGGGGAGCAAACAGG